rnacentral:rRNA from 1 species
UACGAAGGGGGCUAGCGUUGCUCGGAAUCACUGGGCGUAAAGCGCACGUAGGCGGAUUGCUAAGUCAGGGGUGAAAUCCUGGAGCUCAACUCCAGAACUGCCUUUGAUACUGGCGAUCUUGAGUCCGGGAGAGGUGAGUGGAACUCCGAGUGUAGAGGUGAAAUUCGUAGAUAUUCGGAAGAACACCGGUGGCGAAGGCGGCCCACUGGAGCGGUACUGACGCUGAGGUGCGAAAGCGUGGGGAGCAAACAGG